GCUACACAUGCAGUCGAGCGGUAACAGAAAGUAGCUUGCUACUUUGCUGACGAGCGGCGGACGGGUGAGUAAUGCUUGGGAACAUGCCUUGAGGUGGGGGACAACAGUUGGAAACGACUGCUAAUACCGCAUAAUGUCUACGGACCAAAGGGGGCUUCGGCUCUCGCCUUUAGAUUGGCCCAAGUGGGAUUAGCUAGUUGGUGAGGUAAUGGCUCACCAAGGCAACGAUCCCUAGCUGGUUUGAGAGGAUGAUCAGCCACACUGGAACUGAGACACGGUCCAGACUCNUACGGGAGGCAGCAGUGGGGAAUAUUGCACAAUGGGCGCAAGCCUGAUGCAGCCAUGCCGCGUGUGUGAAGAAGGCCUUCGGGUUGUAAAGCACUUUCAGUCAGGAGGAAAGGUUAGUAGUUAAUACCUGCUAGCUGUGACGUUACUGACAGAAGAAGCACCGGCUAACUCCGUGCCAGCAGCCGCGGUAAUACGGAGGGUGCGAGCGUUAAUCGGAAUUACUGGGCGUAAAGCGUACGCAGGCGGUUUGUUAAGCGAGAUGUGAAAGCCCCGGGCUCAACCUGGGAACUGCAUUUCGAACUGGCAAACUAGAGUGUGAUAGAGGGUGGUAGAAUUUCAGGUGUAGCGGUGAAAUGCGUAGAGAUCUGAAGGAAUACCGAUGGCGAAGGCAGCCACCUGGGUCAACACUGACGCUCAUGUACGAAAGCGUGGGGAGC
rnacentral:rRNA from 1 species